AUGGAGGAAAACAGAGGGAGAAGC
rnacentral:miRNA from 1 species